rnacentral:other from 1 species
CAAGUCCUGAUGUGUACGUUAUCUAAUCAUUCGUUUUGACCGAACACUUCUAUUUUCGGGAGCCUGCGUUUUCUUGAAUCGUGCAUGCCUUUUGCGAGGACGCAUUAAUCGGGGAACAGGGCACCCACCUGCUGAGAGCGGGUUCAAAACAAUAGAUAUCAAAAGAGACGGCAUAAUUGGGAUUUGC